GUGCUCGCUUCGGCAGCACAUAUACUAAAAAUGGAAUGAUGCAGAGAAGAUUGGCAUGGCUUUUGCACAAGGAUGACAUGCAAAUUCGUGAAGCGUUCCAUAUUAAA